rnacentral:misc_RNA from 1 species
GAUGAAGAACGUAGCGAAAUGCGAUAAGUAAUGUGAAUUGCAGAGUUCAGUGAAUCAUCGAAUCUUUGAACGCACAUUGCGCCCGUUAGUAUUCUGACGGGCAUGCCUGUCCGAGCGUCAUUUCAACCCUCAAGCACGGCUUGGUGUUGGCGGAUUGCGUGCCCUAGCGGCGCCGCAACCGCCCAAAUACAGUGGCGGUCCCGCUGCGGCUCCCUUUGCGUAGUAACUCACCUCGCACUGGACCGGGCGGCGGCUCGCCGUAAAACCCCAACUCACGAAAUGUUGACCUCGGAUCAGGUAGGAAUACCCGCUGAACUUAAGCAUAUCAAUAAGCGGAGGA